rnacentral:rRNA from 2 species
GGGUUGUGAGGUUAAGCGACCAAGCGUACACGGUGGAUGCCCUGGCAGUCAGAGGCGAUGAAGGACGUGCUAAUCUGCGAAAAGCGCCGGCGAGGUGAUAUGAACCCUUGACCCGGCGAUGUCCGAAUGGGGAAACCCAGUGUGACUCGUCACACUAUCAUUAACUGAAUCCAUAGGUUAAUGAGGCGAACCGGGGGAACUGAAACAUCUAAGUACCCCGAGGAAAAGAAAUCAACCGAGAUUCCCCCAGUAGCGGCGAGCGAACGGGGAGGAGCCCAGAGCCUGAAUCAGCAGGUGUGUUAGUGGAAGCGUCUGGAAAGGCGCGCGAUACAGGGUGAGAGCCCCGUACACGAAAAUGCACCUGGUGUGAGCUCGAUGAGUAGGGCGGGACACGUGGUAUCCUGUCUGAAUAUGGGGGGACCAUCCUCCAAGGCUAAAUACUCCUGACUGACCGAUAGUGAACCAGUACCGUGAGGGAAAGGCGAAAAGAACCCCGGCGAGGGGAGUGAAAAAGAACCUGAAACCGUGUACGUACAAGCAGUGGGAGCACAGGUUUACCUGUGUGACUGCGUACCUUUUGUAUAAUGGGUCAGCGACUUAUAUUCUGUAGCAAGGUUAACCGAAUAGGGGAGCCGGAGGGAAACCGAGUCUUAAUUGGGCGUUAAGUUGCAGGGUAUAGACCCGAAACCCGGUGAUCUAGCCAUGGGCAGGUUGAAGGUUGGGUAACACUAACUGGAGGACCGAACCGACUAAUGUUGAAAAAUUAGCGGAUGACCUGUGGCUGGGGGUGAAAGGCCAAUCAAACCGGGAGAUAGCUGGUUCUCCCCGAAAGCUAUUUAGGUAGCGCCUCGUGAACUCAUCUCCGGGGGUAGAGCACUGUUUCGGCUAGGGGGCCAUCCCGGCUUACCAACCCGAUGCAAACUGCGAAUACCGGAGAAUGUUAUCACGGGAGACACACGGCGGGUGCUAACGUCCGUCGUGAAGAGGGAAACAACCCAGACCGCCAGCUAAGGUCCCAAAGUCAUGGUUAAGUGGGAAACGAUGUGGGAAGGCCCAGACAGCCAGGAUGUUGGCUUAGAAGCAGCCAUCAUUUAAAGAAAGCGUAAUAGCUCACUGGUCGAGUCGGCCUGCGCGGAAGAUGUAACGGGGCUAAACCAUGCACCGAAGCUGCGGCAGCGGCACGCAAGUGUUGUUGGGUAGGGGAGCGUUCUGUAAGCCGUUGAAGGUGUGCUGUGAGGCAUGCUGGAGGUAUCAGAAGUGCGAAUGCUGACAUAAGUAACGAUAAAGCGGGUGAAAAGCCCGCUCGCCGGAAGACCAAGGGUUCCUGUCCAACGUUAAUCGGGGCAGGGUGAGUCGACCCCUAAGGCGAGGCCGAAAGGCGUAGUCGAUGGGAAACGGGUUAAUAUUCCCGUACUUGGUGUUACUGCGAAGGGGGGACGGAGAAGGCUAUGUUGGCCGGGCGACGGUUGUCCCGGUUUAAGCGUGUAGGCUGGUUUUCCAGGCAAAUCCGGAAAAUCAAGGCUGAGGCGUGACGACGAGGCACCACGGUGCUGAAGCAACAAAUGCCCUGCUUCCAGGAAAAGCCUCUAAGCGUCAGGUAACAUCAAAUCGUACCCCAAACCGACACAGGUGGUCAGGUAGAGAAUACCAAGGCGCUUGAGAGAACUCGGGUGAAGGAACUAGGCAAAAUGGUGCCGUAACUUCGGGAGAAGGCACGCUGACAUGUAGGUGAAGCGGUUUACCCGUGGAGCUGAAGUCAGUCGAAGAUACCAGCUGGCUGCAACUGUUUAUUAAAAACACAGCACUGUGCAAACACGAAAGUGGACGUAUACGGUGUGACGCCUGCCCGGUGCCGGAAGGUUAAUUGAUGGGGUCAGCGGUAACGCGAAGCUCCUGAUCGAAGCCCCGGUAAACGGCGGCCGUAACUAUAACGGUCCUAAGGUAGCGAAAUUCCUUGUCGGGUAAGUUCCGACCUGCACGAAUGGCGUAAUGAUGGCCAGGCUGUCUCCACCCGAGACUCAGUGAAAUUGAACUCGCUGUGAAGAUGCAGUGUACCCGCGGCAAGACGGAAAGACCCCGUGAACCUUUACUAUAGCUUGACACUGAACACUGGUCCUUGAUGUGCAGGAUAGGUGGGAGGCUUUGAAGCGUGGACGCCAGUCUGCGUGGAGCCAUCCUUGAAAUACCACCCUUUAAUGGCUGGUGUUCUAACGUGGGCCCCUGACCGGGGUUGCGGACAGUGUCUGGUGGGUAGUUUGACUGGGGCGGUCUCCUCCCAAAGAGUAACGGAGGAGCACGAAGGUUGGCUAAUCCUGGUCGGACAUCAGGAGGUUAGUGCAAUGGCAUAAGCCAGCUUGACUGCGAGCGUGACGGCGCGAGCAGGUGCGAAAGCAGGUCAUAGUGAUCCGGUGGUUCUGAAUGGAAGGGCCAUCGCUCAACGGAUAAAAGGUACUCCGGGGAUAACAGGCUGAUACCGCCCAAGAGUUCAUAUCGACGGCGGUGUUUGGCACCUCGAUGUCGGCUCAUCACAUCCUGGGGCUGAAGUAGGUCCCAAGGGUAUGGCUGUUCGCCAUUUAAAGUGGUACGCGAGCUGGGUUUAGAACGUCGUGAGACAGUUCGGUCCCUAUCUGCCGUGGGCGCUGGAAGAUUGAGGGGGGCUGCUCCUAGUACGAGAGGACCGGAGUGGACGCAUCACUGGUGUUCGGGUUGUCAUGCCAAUGGCACUGCCCGGUAGCUAAAUGCGGAAGAGAUAAGUGCUGAAAGCAUCUAAGCACGAAACUUGCCCCGAGAUGAAUCUUCCCUGAGACUUUAAGUCUCCUGAAGGAACGUUGAAGACGACGACGUUGAUAGGCCGGGUGUGUAAGCGCAGCGAUGCGUUGAGCUAACCGGUACUAAUGAACCGUGAGGCUUAACCUUACAACGCCGAAG